GACGAACGCUGGCGGCGUGCUUAACACAUGCAAGUCGAACGAAGUGGCGAACGGGUGAGUAACGCGUAAUCAACCUGCCCUUCAGAGGGGGACAACAGUUGGAAACGACUGCUAAUACCGCAUACUGAAGGAGGGGAUUGCGUCUGAUUAGCUAGUUGGAGGGGUAACGGCCCACCAAGGCGAUGAUCGGUAGCCGGUCUGGGAGGAGGAACGGCCACAGUGGGACGGGGAACCGGCACAGACCCCUACGGGAGGCAGCAGUGGGGAAUCUUCCGAAAUGGACGAAAGGCGGAAGGAGCAAAGCCGGGGGAGUGAUGACGGCCUUAGGGUUGUAAAGCUCUGUUAAUCGGGACGCGGUACGGGAAUAGAAAGCCACGGCUAACUACGUGCCAGCAGCCGCGGUAAUAC
rnacentral:rRNA from 1 species